CGCGCUCCCUUCUGGGCGAGCGGGUGCGGGGCGCGCGCCAUGGAACAGCGGUUAGCUGAGUGUCGGUUUGCGCGCAAACUGCCUGCCUGGCGGCCCAACAAAGCGUUUCCAGCCAGGACGCACAAACCUCGGGAGAGAAGGCGGAAGCCGCAGCGACUCUAAAGGCAGCCCCCGGCUGACUAAAGCUGUUCUUGGUACGGAAACCGAGGCCCCAGUGCUCGGGCCCUACCCAGCCUGAUUCAGGUGAAAGGAGGGAAGCCUCGGCCGGGUACCGGCGUCAGAGCCACAGUCGGACCUGGCCCUGCUGCCGGGGCGGGUCGGCUGGGCCUCCCUCCCGCUCCGGGCUAGACCUGACGUCUCCUGCCUUUCGCGUCCGCACUGCUCCGGGCUUUAACAUUUUCUUUCCAGCCCGCGAACCACGCAGCUCUGGAUUCCAGGCAAGAAGCGAGGGUCAGGGUCCCGAAAGAAAGCACCCCUGUCCUUGAAUUAUUCACCCCGAAUUGAAUUAUCAUGACACCCUGUGGCUUUGGGAAACCUCCCCACAACCAAGUGGAGCCACAGCCCUCGGCUAAAUGAGGGUAGAAGGUCGAAUUAGAUACUGAUCAAAAGUGGCGGCCUGUCAUACUUUCUCCUUCCUAGGAAAUUGCUGGUGGCCUUUCUUGUUCUUCCUCUGAAGUCACUUCUAAGUCUUGUUCUGCUCUAGAUGUUUGUACAUCCUUUCUUUUUACUGCAUUCUUCACAACAGACUCUUCCAUUUCAGUGGUAGGCUUCAAGGAAAGAUGUUUUACAGGAGGCCCUUCUCCUUUUACCAUAUUUUUUCUUCUUUUUUAUAUGAAGGUUCACGUAAAGACUCUGAAGCAGUCUCAGGGUUAUACUACUUGGUAGUAAAAGUCAAGUCUUCAUUAUCUAGUUUACGGCAUGAAUCAACACACAGUUCUUUGAAAUACUUAAUGCAGAUUCGUCAGAACUCCCUGAAUCUUCUAUACUUGCUCCUCCUUUUUUCAAACUUGCAUUCUUAGAUGCUUCUGGAUCGUCAUUUUGAAGACCAUUUUCAAGUAUCUUUUUUUAUGUUGCAAAAUUUGUUGUUGAAUGCUAGUCAAAGCACCAGAAAAGCAUAAUUGUUUGCUGUCUGUACAUACAUAUUUUGAAUAAAGACAGUAAUAUUUUGUUGAAGAAUGCCGACUAUACCUAACGAGCCAUAAUGUACAGCAGGCAUGAGGACUGUUCCUCCCAACCUAUCGACAACAUGUACAUUUGCUUGUUUCUUCACCAAAAAUUCCAGCAUUUGCUGUCUUUUGCAAACUGCAGCAAGUAAAAGUGGUGUGUUUCCAUCAUUGUUCAGCGCUUCAAUAUCCAUAUCACGGGAAAGUAGUUUUUCUACCAGGAAUGUACUCUCAUUAUAGGACAGCAUAGUGGAGAGCAGUGUUGCCGUAGAUAUCCACGUUCCAGCAGAAUGAUGCCACAAAUCUCUUCCUGGCGAUGUACAACCUUCUCAAAGGCGUCCCAUUUUGUUUGUCACCAAUGUCAAUGUGGUAUUUUCAGUUCACCAGGAGAGUCCCCACUUCCACAUGGCCAUUGGCACAGGCCAAAUGUACAGCAGCCCUGUCCAUCCACAGCUGAAGGGAUAAAGAAACUGCCAUACAGAUACACACAGAAUAUGCUUCAGUCAUAAAGCUUUAGGAAAUCCUGUCAUCCACAGCCACAUGGAGAAACCCAGAGGACAUUAGGUCCAAGAAAAUGAGCCUGGUGGAGAAAGUCCCACACUGCAUGAUCUCAGGCAUGUGGACUCCUAAAAGCUUUACCUACUGCCCGUCCACAGAUGAAGGGAUCAAGAAACUCUAAUAUAUAUUCACAAAGAAAUAGUCUUUGGCCAUCAAGAUAAUUAAAGGAUGUCAUCUGGAGGAACACAGACGGCCCGCCGAGGCUGCAGCUGCCUUGUCCUGCACUGUGGAUGGAAGCCACUGUUCUGACAAGAGGCGGAGCUUAGGUGGUAAUGCUUGCUACUGCUGUGCCACCAGGUUCCUGACAGGCCCGGGACGAUACUGGUCCAGGGGUGGGGGACCCAUGCUCCAGAUGACAGCCAGAGUAGUCUUAAAUGACCUUGUGCUGUGCAUGAAGGUGGUAUGCAAUCAGAAGACGUCUGAGGAGACAAGUAUGCGUCUCCCACCACAACAUUAUAUGAUGCUUGGAGUAAAAACAGUCAUCCCUGUUCCUACCUACAAUUGUAUUAUUCAAUAAAGAUUGCUGCCAGACAUGGUGGCUCAUACCUGUAGUCCCAGCACUUUGGGAGGCCGAGGCUGGGCAGAUCGCUUGAGACCA